GGGCUUUUAGCUCAGUGGUAGAGCGCGCCCCUUGGGCUGUGAGGGCUCUCAGCCACAUGGAUAGUUCA
rnacentral:tRNA from 1 species